rnacentral:rRNA from 1 species
UACUAGAGUAGCACUCGCAUAUCAAUAAGCGGAGGAAAAGAAACUAACAAGGAUUCCCCUAGUAACGGCGAGUGAAGCGGGAAGAGCUCAAAUUUGAAAUCUUAAAGGGUUUCCCUUUACGAAUUGUAGUUUAAAGAAGUGUUUUCUGUUGAGGUUUUGGUAAAAGUUCUUUGGAAUAGGACAUCAUAGAGGGUGAGAAUCCCGUAUUUGACCUUUACUUUCAACUUUGUGAUACACUUUCAAAGAGUCGGAUUGUUUGGGAAUGCAGUCCAAAAUGGGUGGUAAAUUUCAUCUAAAGCUAAAUAUUGGCGAGAGACCGAUAGCGAACAAGUACCGUGAGGGAAAGAUGAAAAGAACUUUGAAAAGAGAGUUAAACAGUACGUGAAAUUGUCAAAAGGGAAGCGUUUGACACCAGUGUUGUUUUUCUGAAAAUCAAUUAAAGAACUGUUUAUGCUAAGCUGUUUAGACUUUAUCAGCUAUCUGUUUAGUUUUGAGCUUUUCUUUAAUGCACUUUUCAGUUAACAAGUCAACAUCAAUUUCUUUUGCUGUAAAAAAGCUUGAGGAAGGUGGCUUGAGAUUCGUCUUAAGUGUUUAUAGCCUCUUGCCUAUGCAGUCGGAGAGAUUGAGGUCUGCAGCGUAGAUCCUUCGGGGCUAAAUGCAUUUGUGCUAAGUUAUAGCAUUUUAUAGACAACUUGUUGACUAUGAUUUGUCUUGUAGCUUACUCGCUUAUGUUAUUUUACCUACGCUUAGGAUGUUGAGCGCAUGUCUCUCUCU